CAGAAACUAUGCAAGUUCCAAGAGCAUUCUUUGAGAACAAGUGGCGACGGGAAUGGGUGUGGAGAGAGUCACACAAUGUUUCUCCAGAGAUAUCUGUAUCAGGAAGUAAAGGCAGGAUUUGCAUCCUGUUACAUACCUGUAAAGUACAACACCACACCACACUUUGUACGAAGCAGUGAAA